UACGGAGGGGGCUAGCGUUGUUCGGAAUUACUGGGCGUAAAGCGCGCGUAGGCGGCUUUGUAAGUUAGAGGUGAAAGCCCGGAGCUCAACUCUGGAAUUGCCUUUUAGACUGCAUCGCUUGAAUCAUGGAGAGGUCAGUGGAAUUCCGAGUGUAGAGGUGAAAUUCGUAGAUAUUCGGAAGAACACCAGUGGCGAAGGCGACUCACUGGACAUGUAUUGACGCUGAGGUGCGAAAGCGUGGGGAGCAAACAGG
rnacentral:rRNA from 1 species